CUUGGUCAUUUAGAGGAAGUAAAAGUCGUAACAAGGUUUCCGUAGGUGAACCUGCGGAAGGAUCAUUAGUGAACGCCCUCACGGGCUUAUAACUAUUCCAAACCUCUGUGAACCGUGCCCUUCGGGGCUAUUUUACAAACAGGGUGUAAUGAACGUCAUAUAUCAUAACAAAACAAAACUUUCAACAACGGAUCUCUUGGCUCUCGCAUCGAUGAAGAACGCAGCGAAAUGCGAUAAGUAAUGUGAAUUGCAGAAUUCAGUGAAUCAUCGAAUCUUUGAACGCACCUUGCGCCCUCUGGUAUUCCGGAGGGCAUGCCUGUUUGAGUGUCAUGUAGACUCAAUCCCUCGGGUUUCCGAGGAGAUUGGACUUGGGUGUUGCCGCUCUGCCGGCUCGCCUUAAAAGACUUAGCGGGAUAGCACCGUAGUCGGCGUAAUAAGUUUCGUCGGUGAAGGUUGUGAUGACUGCUUACAAUCGCCCUCGGGCAAUUUUUGACUCUGACCUCAAAUCAGGUAGGACUACCCGCUGAACUUAAGCAUAUCAAUAAGCGGAGGA
rnacentral:rRNA from 1 species